GCGGCCGCGAUGGGUGGCGCCAUGGUCCUGCUCUAUGCCAGCCGGGCCUGCUACAACCUGACAGCACUGGCCUUGGCCCCCCAGAGCCGGCUGGACACCUUCGAUUACGACUGGUACAAUGUGUCUGACCAGGUGGGCAUACGCAUGUCUGCCACCUCCUUAGUAGCUGUGGCACCUUGGCCCCAGCUGGCCUGGGCCGUGUCCCACUACCCCUUUGGCAUGACUGCAGACUGGCACCAGCCCCUGCCUUCCCACAGGCGGACCUGGUGAAUGACCUGGGGAACAAAGGCUACCUGGUAUUUGGCCUCAUCCUCUUUGUGUGGGAGCUGCUGCCCACCACCCUGCUGGUGGGCUUCUUCCGGGUGCACCGGCCCCCACAGGACCUGAGCACCAGCCACAUCCUCAAUGGGCAGGUCUUUGCCUCUCGGUCCUACUUCUUUGACCGGGCUGGGCACUGUGAAGAU
rnacentral:sRNA from 1 species